rnacentral:misc_RNA from 1 species
GAUGAAGAACGCAGCGAAAUGCGAUAAGUAAUGUGAAUUGCAGAAUUCAGUGAAUCAUCGAAUCUUUGAACGCACAUUGCGCCCGCCAGUAUUCUGGCGGGCAUGCCUGUUCGAGCGUCAUUUCAACCAUCAAGCCCCCGGCUUGUGUUGGGGACCUGCGGCUGCCGCAGGCCCUGAAAACCAGUGGCGGGCUCGCUAGUCACUCCGAGCGUAGUAAUACAUCUCGCUCAGGGCGUGCUGCGGGUUCCGGCCGUUAAAAAAGCCUUAUUUACCCAAGGUUGACCUCGGAUCAGGUAGGAAGACCCGCUGAACUUAAGCAUAUAAUAAGCGGAGGA